CAGCCGCCGCGGUAAUACGUAGGGUGCAAGCGUUGUCCGGAAUUAUUGGGCGUAAAGAGCUCGUAGGCGGUUUGUCGCGUCUGCUGUGAAAUCCCGAGGCUCAACCUCGGGCUUGCAGUGGGUACGGGCAGACUAGAGUGCGGUAGGGGAGAUUGGAAUUCCUGGUGUAGCGGUGGAAUGCGCAGAUAUCAGGAGGAACACCGAUGGCGAAGGCAGAUCUCUGGGCCGUAACUGACGCUGAGGAGCGAAAGCGUGGGGAGCGAACAGGAUUAGAUACCCGAGUAGUCCCUGUCUCUUAUAC
rnacentral:rRNA from 1 species